AUACCCUUCUCGACCUUUUGGCUAAAAUAAAGUGUAAUCUUAUCAGUUUAAUAUCUGGUAUGUGGACUAUAUGUUCACUUGGUAUUAAAUUUAUUUUGUGAGAAUUUAU
rnacentral:snRNA from 1 species